GAUGAACGCUGGCGGCGUGCUUAACACAUGCAAGUCGAACGGAGUAUUGAGAAUGAAGUUUUCGGAUGGAUUUUUAAUACUUAGUGGCGGACGGGUGAGUAACGCGUGGGUAACCUGCCUCACACAGGGGGAUAACAGUUGGAAACGACUGUUAAUACCGCAUAAGCGCACGGAAGGACAUCCUUCAGUGUGAAAAACUCCGGUGGUAUGGGAUGGCCCCGCGUCUGAUUAGGCAGUUGGCGGGGUAACGGCCCACCAAACCGACGAUCAGUAGCCGACCUGAGAGGGUGAACGGCCACAUUGGGACUGAGACACGGCCCAAACUCC
rnacentral:rRNA from 1 species